rnacentral:rRNA from 1 species
CAGUCAUGUCUGCCAGGACUCAGCCUUGCUUCUGCUUGGUGUACUUUCUGGUUUGAUGGGCCAACAUCAAUUUUGACCGUUGGAGAAAGGCUUUGGGAAUGUGGCACCUUAGGGUGUGUUAUAGCCCUUUGUUGUAUACGACGGUUGGGAUUGAGGACUGCAGCACGCCUUUAUGGCCGGGGUUCGCCCACGUACGUGCUUAGGAUGUUGGCAUAAUGGCUUUAAGCGACCCGUCUUGGAACACGGACCAAGGAGUCUAACAUGUGUGCG